CCUGUCUGCAGAGCCCUGGAAAGACGAUAGUCCCAGACCCACUCUGCUGGUAGAAAGUUCCUGGAAACCAUCAAUCAGAAGGAGUUGCCUUUAGCAACCAACAACAAAUCUGCCCGAGUUCACCGCGGGGAUGGAGACUGUCUAAAAGCUACAGGAAUGCCUGAAGUCAGAGGAACUGCAGAGGAACUGCUGCCUACCAGAACAGGUGCAUUCCUUGCUCAAUACUAUUUGCUCCUUGUAGUAAAUCUACACCCAACAGGAAUGAAGUAAAGAAAGCCAACCACAAGAGACAACCAACAGCACAGAGGUCAAGAAAAGCAGCCCAGCAAGCUCUGUUUUGAAAGAGACAUUAUGAACAUGUCCAAAGCGGUGUCUACAGCUGGGUUCAAGUGCUGCAUUUCCAAGGUCUUUCUCUGGGAAGGGAAUGAUGAUUGAUACUAAUGCCUGGACACAUUAAUCAAAAUGGGUAUUUUCUUGAUUGCCUAUUCAAACAACACCUCUGACACUGUUUCCAGUCAGCUUCCCCAAGGCUCACAGCAGAUGUUUGUUUGAUGGCCUCUCAUCUCCACUGCUGUUUGGAAAGUCUAUUUGGAAAUAAUAGCUCUAUUUCCAACCACAGAAAGCCAAGGCAACAUUAUCAAAAUAGUUCACCCUUCAUUUUAUCCAAAUGAAAGCCCUGAGGAGGAAGAAAUGUAACCACCUCAUCCACUAGAAUUAUUUUGGGAAAGUGCUAGGAAAUAAAUGUGCUCAUGUUCUGAAGAUCCCUUUGUCUCUCCUUCCCAAAGCUGCUGAUAUAUUUUCACUGGAUGUUCUUAGUGUUGUGUAGUUGUAGUUGCUGCUGUGGUGUUUCAUUCAGUAAGGCUACUUUGGUGUGUUGGAUUAGGAAAAUGAUUUAACAUGGUGUUGGUCUGGUUUUAAUGGUCUGUUCCUCACUCUGAAAAGAGUGCCUGAAACUGAAGCUAGUGAGAACUGUGUUUAAACAAAUAUUUAAUAAACGGGGGACUG